GGCCCAAAUAAACAGAGUUCGUCUGUAACCUAAUCCUAAUGACGGGAGUUCGUCUCUCCUCUUCUUCGACAUGCCGACACGGCCAUCUUCAUCUUUUGCAGACCGAGCAUGUACUUUGUUGAAAGUAAUGGGAGACGAGCUUUACGGCUGAUCUCCGUGGCAUAAUCUGUUCGUCUUCUUUAGAUUGGAUUACGCCUGAGAAGAGAAAUUCGAAGCGUUACAUGAUGCAAUCAAUCGUCGUCAUUAGUGAUCAUCUUAAGUGCUUAAUCCCACUUUUACCACGAUCCCUCAUUCCAUGUAUCUACCCUUCCUUCCAGUCGGUGAAUCUCCAUGUGUAAAAAGAUAUGCCUUAUUGCCUUAAUCCAGUAAACACAAUUGUUUUGAUUUUUCUCACAACAGUAAAAACUUUUUUUAGUAGAGUGGCUAGCUUAUCUCUCCUCCUUGAUGAAUUCAAUGGUCGCUGUAGCACCACCGCUGUCUGCUCAGAUUUUGGGAUGCCAAGAAUGUGAAUAGAAGCGGAGAGCUUAUGGAGGUCGAAAUGAUUCUUCUUGACGAUCAGCUUAAAGGAGAAGUAUCGAGUAUUAUUAUGAGAGUGGUAGUUCGUAAAGUUUUACUGUCACGAAAGAUGAAGAAUAUAGAGCUCUCACAUGUAAGAUGCCAACAGAAACUAUAAUAGAGGAAGUUUAGUUUGUUUUGAUCCCUGAGGAAGCUAGACAGCUUGAAAAGCAACUCAGACAUACGACUAAGGAGAAGAAUGAAGCUUUGGGAGGCCAAGACUCUGGGAAGGUGUUGUCUUUGAGUUUCUCUUACUGUCUAUAAACCCAAGAUAAGUGUUUACUAUUCCAUGAGUUCUUCUCCAACAAGAUGAAUCUCACUAUGACCAGAUUAGAACUUAGGCAUGGGAUAGCUGCUAUUUCAUCCAAAGGCAAAGAAGUGAGCAAAGCUGAGACUAAAUCUGGGGAAGGAGACCUGAUGUCACUGAAUCCAACGUCAAACGCAUGAUCACCACCUAGACAGUAAUACUGGCAGAAAAAGUAUUGUCUGAUAAAUUGAGCUGUCUUUCCCAAUAUUGAGCAGAGCCUCCUCACAAGUUAUUGGCCAAGACGAAGCUGUCAAAGCCAUUAUCCGGGCGAUCCGACGUGCAUGUGACCGCACAAUCACAAGUUUCAUUUUCAAUGUUAACGAUUUUUGUUUAAAGUUUUCUAUGUAUAUGUAAUUCUUUCAUGCUGCUUGAUCCUAUAUCUAAAACAUCACACUGGGUAAACAUAUUUGUAAACUAUGAUUUUGAAAAUGUACUAAUCAUUUCUCAU